rnacentral:lncRNA from 1 species
GCUGGCUGAGUACUGUGCGCUUAGGGACGCCCACCCCAGGUUUCUGGAAGUCAGAAGCCGGUGGAUGGCAGCUGGGAAGCAACCUGGCCGGCUCCCCUCACUAGGACCAUGGGUUUGAUGGGGCAGGCCUAGUUUCCUUCGGAAGGAUUGAAGGAAGGCCCGUAGCUCAGAUUUGGUGUUCGAGGUGGAGGGGUCAGGUAGGGGCCGGCUGCGGUGGGGUGCCCUGUGGAGCAUAGGCUGUCCUCCCUUUAUUUGGUGACUACCCGUUGAGAUGGAGGGCGUCAUGUAGGGAGCCCCGUCUUCUUCAACUUUCCACCCACAGUUCCUCCCUUCCUGGGGAUGCUCUCCUCCUCUGUGGGAGACCUCCAUUGGUGUUAAUGGUCCAGGUCCACCAUUUUCAGCAUCCCACAGCGACUCUUCUCCAGACCAAAGUGUCCUGUCCAUCCCCUAGGCGCCUUGCUCCCCCCACCAGUCUCUCCCAACACCUCAGGUUUCUCAGGAGCUUCCUUUACUCUCUAACUUGGGUCCUCGGGUCAUAAUCUGUGCUACUGUCUCUUCAGCUGCUGUUCUGCUGUCCAGUGGCCCUAGAACAUCACACUAAGUCUUCUCUUUCUUCUGACAGUCUUUUGAGAAAGGAAGGUCACCAAGCGUGAGCGUCGGGCCUGGGGUUGUACUUCAAGUCCAUGCUUGCUCAACAUCUAAAUGAAGCCCUGUGUAGUUCAGUCCCCAGCACUGCAUAAAUUAGCUGUGGGGAUACACACCUUUACUCUUGGCGGGAAAGACUAGAGGAUUAGAAAUUCGAUGUCCUUGCCUACUCAGAGAGUUCAAGGCCAGCCUGAUGGCUACUGUUAGCUGUCAGCCGGAUACAAUGGGAAGAGAGUUGCAAGUGGAGAUUGUCUAGUUCAGGUUGGCGUUUUCCUUUUCUUUUCUCAAUUGGGGCAAAGCCUCCUCAUAGAGCCCUGGCUUGCUUGUACUUGUGCAGGCCAGCCUGACCUUGAUGAGGCGUGCCGCAGUUCAGGCUCUUCACUGUGCAUAUGACUACUGCCUUCAGGUUCCUCGGCUUCCCUGGAUUGGAAGCAAGGACAAGAUGCGCCCCCUGCUUCAGAGGAAGGCCCCACCUUUAUCUUCUGUGGUUGUUUACUUGACAAGACAGUUUGGAACAGAAGGGUGAACGCAUCUGUCCUCAAAGGUGCUGACUAAGGGUUAACAAUUGUCUUCCCACACGUUCCUGCCCA